AACGCAUAUUGCGCUCCUUUUGGAGCAUGUUUGUUUGAGAACCGUUUCAACCCUCACACCCCUCAUAUUAUUUUAUUAGUAUGUUGCGGAAUUGUGGAAAUGGAAGGUUUCCAAUUAAUUUUUUUUUUUGGAAUCCUAUCUGAAACAGAAUGUCGGUUUUUUUUGCUUGUGGAACCUACAAGACGUGAUGAUGCGGUUAUUAUGACUGCUUUUCAUCGUCGGUCAGGAGAAACAAAGCGCUUAUGGAAAACGACAAAUAAAUUUUUUUUUUGCCAGGCAAUCGGACGAUUAAAAAAAUUCGAUUGAAAUACCUGAACUAUGGUCUCAAAUCAAGCAAGAGGACCCGCUGAACUUAA
rnacentral:misc_RNA from 1 species